UCGGAUAUGGUGUAACGGCUAACAUUACCGCCUCUCACUUGAUCGCGGUAGCUCGGGGUUCGAUUCCCCGUAUCCGAA